rnacentral:rRNA from 1 species
UGAGGAAUAUUGCGCAAUGGGCGAAAGCCUGACGCAGCGACGCCGCGUGGAGGAUGAAGGUCUUAGGAUUGUAAACUUCUGUUAAGCGGGAAGAAAAGUAAAGUCUUAAUACGAUUUUAUUAUGACGGUACCGCUAGAGAAAGCACCGGCUAACUUCGUGCCAGCAGCCGCGGUAAUACGAAGGGUGCGAGCGUUAUUCGGAAUUAUUGGGCGUAAAGGGUGCGUAGGCGGUACGUUAAGUCAACUGUUAAAGCCCCCAGCCUAACUGGGGAUCGGCGGUAGAUACUGGCGUGCUAGAGGGUGGAAGAGAGAAGUGGAAUUCUUGGAGUAGCGGUAAAAUGCGUAGAUCUCAAGAGGAACACCGAUGGCGAAGGCAGCUUCUUGGUCCACAUCUGACGCUGAUGCACGAAAGCGUGGGGAGCAAACAGGAUUAGAUACCCCGGUAGUCC